GAACGGUGUGCAACGGACCGCUGCUGGAUCUUGGGAACAAGACCCUGGCAUGCUUUGGCAAACAUACAUCAAGUCUGGUGACAAGGCAGCCUGACAGCACAAAUUGCCUCUUGAUAUCUGAAAUAAAGACAUUUGGAACCAGAGGAAGUAAUGAAGUUGUGGUUAUCAUGUGAAGCUUGCAUGGAUGUAUCUUCGGGUGUUCAUCUGUCAUACAUUCUUGGAAUAUUCAGAUGGUGAAGAAGGCUUUAAACAUUGAUACCAGUGUUAGCAAUGGCUGCCCGGAGAUAUUAGAAGGUACGGGGAUUAGCAGGAGAGGUACCUAUAUGAAUGUGGAACAUAUUUAUAGUCAAUACCUAUAUGAAGGGGCAAAAUGGCUGUGAUAUCAUAGGCCUCAGUGAGAUGUGGUGAGAUGGCUCACAUAACAAGAGUGCUGAGAUGGAUAGCUGCAGGCUCUUCAGGAGAGUUAGGCAGGGAAGAGAAGGUGGGGUAGCCUUCUUUGCUAGGGGAGGCCUGGACUGUAUGAAGCUUAUUCAUGGUGAUAAAAAACAUUGAGUGCCUCUGCGCACUCGCAGGGAGAGGGAAAGGCCAACAAGAGAGAUACUGUAGUAAGAGUUUGUUAUAGACCACCCAACCAGGAUGAAGAAGCAGACCAAAUAUUUUAUAAGCCUCUAAAGAAGCAUCACAAUUGCUAGUGCUCACUCUUCUUUAACUUUCCAGACGUGCUGGAAAUACAAAACAGCAAAGAAAAAAGCUAGUAGAAUUCCUGGAAUGUGUGGAGGAUAAUGCCCUGACUCAAGUCAUUAGGGAUCUAGCUACAGAGUUGCACCACUUCAUCUUCUGUUUGUUAAGAGGAAAAGUCUUGCAGGUGACAUGUUGGUUGGACGCUGGCAUAGUGUUCACGAGGAUGGCAGAGUUCUUGAUCCUUGCAGAAGCCAAGAGGGCAGUCAGCAGAACUGAUACUUUGGGUUUUCACAGUUUUGAUUUUGGCAUGUUUAGGGACCUAGUUGACAUGGUUUCUUGUGAGGCAGUUCUAAAGAAGGGCAGGAAGGAGAAUCUUGGAAAAAACAGGCCUGUCAGUCUGACCUCAGUGCCAGGAAAGGUCAUGGAGCAGACCAUUUUGAGAGCCAAAACAUGGCAUAUAAAGGACAGACAGAUGAUCAGAUGCAGUCAGCAUGCGUUUGUGAAGGGAAAGUCCUGCUUGACGAACCUGAUCUCCUAUAACAAGAAAACACGUUUAGUGGAUAUGUCGGAAAGCCUGUGAAUGUUUACUUGGAUUUCAGCAAGGUAUUUGGUAGUAUUUCCCAUGGUCUUCUCCUGAAGAAUUUGCUGUUAUUGGCUUGGAUACAUAUACUAGCUGGAUGGCCCCAUUGUCAUCCAAUUGUAAGUAAUAUUCCCCACGGCUCAGUAGUAAGGCCAGUUUUGUUUAAUAUCUUUCCCAAUGAUCUGUAUGAGGGGAUAGAGUGCACCCUCAGUAAUAUUGCUGACAACACCAAGCUGAGUAAGUAUGAUGAUCUACUUGAGGGAGGAAGGCUGGUGCUGGAGUCAUAAUUUCUAGAGGUAUUUAAGAGUCAUGUGGAGGUGUAACUUAGGUACAUGGUCUUGGUACUGUAAGAUGAUAACUAGAUUUGAUCUCAAAAAUCUUUUCCAACCUAAAUCAUUCUAUCUCAUCUGCUAUAUAAAACAAUCUCUUCUUUGGGUUAAAAUACUAUAAAAUUCAAAACAUAUGUAUAUUUUAUAAUUUUAUAUUAUCAUGCAUUACAGAACAAGUUGUACCUUUAUUUCAUUUUCUCAUCAAUUUACUAUUUAGACCUAGAUUAUCACUUUUGCUCUUUAUGAAUGAUCACAUUUUAUCAUUUCCAAAAAUUUCAUGAAAUCUUCAGCCAGAGCAAAUUUCUUCAGUUGCGUAAUUAAAUGUUUAUUGCAAUAAAUGGAAGUUGGUGCCAUGACUUUAUUACUUGAAAUAUAUCAGUCACAAGCUGCAAAACAGCACAGUAUAGCUGAUCAUAAAAAACAAAUAUAGGCCACACACAACUCUGCAUGCAGAGAAUGUACUGUGGAUAAACACAAAUAUAAGAGUAUCAAAGCUACAAUAAUGCUGGAAUUAAACAACAACAUAAUGUUAAUACUGUGAUGUGAUUCAUUUGGGAACCUGUGGGAAUCACACACUAAAGCCAUCAGUGAUGGAACUGAUUAAAUAAAGUGCAUUAAAUAUGAUCUUCCUGCC
ensembl:lncRNA